ensembl:lncRNA
CGCAUUUUGUGUAUUGCCAUUGUGUUAUUACCCCACCGAACGCGUACCUCUUGAGAAACAGCUGCUGGAUGGCAACACUACAUGAGGCGGCGUUUCUAUCAUUAUCAUGUGCGAAAGGCCGAUGGCUCUGCAUGACAUUUGGACCCCAGGAGAAAAAACCAAGACAGCCUGACAGGAGCAACACUAUUUUCAUAUUGUACCACAUCACAUAAAGUCAAGCUGUGCAACUCAAUGGUGGGUGCUGUGCUCUAUUCGGGGAGCUCCGGGGGAGGAAGACCUUGGAAUGAGCCCAUUUGUGGCCGAGGGAAAGUCACAAGGAUGGCGGAAAUUCAUGUCUGACGUCCUCAUCACAGUAACUCCAUUGUCGGCCGGGGACUUGAUUGGACCGGUUGACUCUGCCUCUAUCCGGGUUGCUGCUUAUGUUGGUGCAGAAGACGCAGCGGCUCAAACCAGCUGUGUUUUGGUGAACACACUCAGAGGGACCAAGAUGACGUGAAGUACAGCUCCCUCAGAUGUGUCACUUCCUUUGGUUUGGAAAGGAACCUCGGCGUCACACUCGACAGCCAACUCUCCCUGACUCCCAACAUCACUGCGACAACGCAGGUACUGAUUCAGGCUCUUGUCAUCUCCCGCCUGGACUACUGCAACUCCCUCCUGGCAGGUCUCCCCGCCACCGCCAUUCGACCUCUGCAGCUCAUCCAGAAUGCAGCAGCUCGACUGGUCUUCAACCUUCCGAAAUUCUCCCACACUACUCCACUCCUCAGCUCUCUUCACUGGCUACCGGUGGCCGCCCGCAUUUAGUUCAAAACAUUGGUGCUCACGUACCAUGCUGUGAAUGGAUCGGGUCCAGCUUACAUCCAGGACAUGGUCAAACCCUACAUCCCAACCCGCACUCUCCGCUCUGCAUCUGCAAAACUACUCGUCUCUCCCUCACUGAGAGCAAAACACUCGACCAGAUCACGACUCUUUGCUGUCCUUGCUCCGAAAUGGUGGAACGAGCUCUCUGAAGACAUCAGGACCGCAGAGAGCCUUCACAUCUUCCGCCGCAAACUAAAGACACACCUCUUCAGACUCUACAUCGACUAAAAGACUAACAAAUUGUAGCACUUAAAUUGUACUUGUAACGUCACUCAUCUAUAGCAAAUUGUAAAUUGGCUUAUUUGAGGAAAUUGCACUUUCUUGUUUCUUGUUCUCCUGAGUUUGUACCCUAUGGUUGAAUGCACUUAUUGUACGUCGCUUUGGAUAAAAGCGUCCGCUAAAUGACAUGUAAUGUAAUUAGAUCUUUCUUGAAUUUCUAUAGUGAGCAAAACCUCAAAAUCCGCCUCAAUACCCUUCAAAUGACCUGUAAACAAGUAAAAGAUUAUCCAACAGACGUACGGUUAUUGGUUGAUCAAAUUGAGCCGGCUGUGAAAAUAUACUUCUAUUGUAUUAAAGGAUUAAAAACAAUCAGUAACACUUUAAGAGUAUGAACUGUAUGCAACAACAGAAUUCUAUGUGGUAGAGUAUUUAAAGAAUGUUAAAACAGAAAUAAAAGAACGUUAAAGCCAA